ACGGAAGGCAGCAGUGAGGAAUAUUGGUCAAUGGACGCAAGUCUGAACCAGCCAUGCCGCGUGCAGGAAUAAGGCCCUAUGGGUCGUAAACUGCUUUUGUGGUGGAGCGAUAAGUCGUACGUGUACGGCGAUGUGAGUACAUCACGAAUAAGCAUCGGCUAACUCCGUGCCAGCAGCCGCGGUAAUACGGAGGAUGCAAGCGUUAUCCGGAUUUAUUGGGUUUAAAGGGUGCGUAGGCUGUGGUCCAAGUCAGGGGUGAAAGCCCGGAGCUCAACUCCGGAACUGCCUUUGAUACUGGAUUGCUGGAAUACGGAUGCCGUGGGAGGAAUGAGUAGUGUAGCGGUGAAAUGCAUAGAUAUUACUCAGAACACCGAUUGCGAAGGCAUCUCACGAAUCCGUCAUUGACGCUGAGGCACGAAAGCGUGGGGAUCAAACAGGAUUAGAUACCCUGGUA
rnacentral:rRNA from 1 species